AGAUUGAACGCUGGCGGCAUGCCUAACACAUGCAAGUCGAACGGGAGUAGCAAUACUCUAGUGGCGGACGGGUGAGGAAUACGUAGGAAUUUGCCCUUAAGUGGGGGAUAACCCGGGGAAACCCGGAUUAAUACCGCAUGACCUCGAAAGAGCAAAGUGGGGGAUCGCAAGACCUCACGCUUUUGGAGAAGCCUACGUCGGAUUAGCUAGUUGGUGAGGUAAUGGCUCACCAAGGCGACGAUCCGUAACUGGUCUGAGAGGAUGAUCAGUCACACCGGAACUGAGACACGGUCCGGACUCCUACGGGAGGCAGCGAGUGGGGAAUAUGGGACAAUGGGCGCAAGCCCUAGAUCCGAGUCAAUCGCCGCGUGUGUAGAAGAAGGCCUUGGGUUAGUAAAGG
rnacentral:rRNA from 1 species